UAGGUUGUUUGCGUUAGAAUUCACGAAUAUGUUGCAUUGCAUACUAUGAUGUUGAUGUGGAUGGAUGUUGGAUGACCCGUUAGCCCUUGAUAUGGCAUGAUGAGGAUGAUACGGUAUGGAAGUCUAGAGACCCAUUCUACGUCCUGGCAUAAUGUAAGAGAAGACCCAGAAGACCCAUUCUACGUCCUAGCACAUUGGAAUGUUAUGAUAUGUUAUCUUUAAGGGAAAGACCAGAGACCCAUUCUACGUCCUAGCACUGUUGGAAUAUGUAGGGGGCUAUUGGUGAUAAAUCCAUCCUUGAUGUGAAUUGUUUGUGAU
rnacentral:lncRNA from 1 species